rnacentral:lncRNA from 1 species
AUUACUGAGUGACACGCAGCCCCAGAUGGAGGGCUCAGCAGCCAGUGGCCAUCUGGAUUUCGGUCUCCAUCAAGGGUACACUCUGUUCUGGGCUUCACCUGGCCCAGGAGACAGCCCUCCUCCCUCUGCCCCACGCUGCACAGUCAACCUUGAGUCAUUGGUGGGGGAAACAGUGAGACAAUUCCUCCAGGUCUCUCAGGUCCAAAGCUUUCUGAAGUCACCGGAAAGAUUAUGACUGGAGAUGCUGACCUCUGAAUUGAUGCAUUGCCCCCGGUUUUCCAAAAUGAGGCACUGAAGAUGAUACAGAACCAUAAACUUUGGUCUUGGUAGAGCUACACCUUCACCUCUGCCAGUUUUGCAGUGGUGUUUGCAGCUGGACCAGGACCAUUAUCCAACUCAGCUUGGCACGGCUCAAGUGCACAACUGCAACCUUUUCCAUGACCCAAAAGUCAGUGCCACUCUGUGGGCUGGCAGUUUGCAAAUAAAACAUAUCCUUAAUGAAGUGUGGAAGCUCCUGUUCUUUCCCUUCCUCAAGAGACGUGCCUUAAUCUCUGGCUCAGAGCCUUGUCAAAUGCUGCAGUACAGAACUGGCAAGCUCAACGCUGCUAAUGGAUUGAAACCUUCACCAGGUUGUUCAUUUCUAGAGGGGCUUCUGAGGAGUAAUGACAACGUUAUUGUGCAGAAUUACCUGCUGUGGUUUAAAAAAUGCACCUGCCAGUGUGAAAAUCUGGGAAUCUGGUGA